rnacentral:tRNA from 1 species
GGCCGCCUGGCGUAAUGGUAACGCAUCUCACUUCAAAUCAAGAGAUUGCAGGUCCGAUCCCUGCGGUGGUCA